rnacentral:rRNA from 1 species
CCGAGCGUUNUCCGGAUUUAUUGGGCGUAAAGCGAGCGCNGGCGGUUAGAUAAGUCUGAAGUUAAAGGCUGUGGNUUAACCAUAGUACGCUUUGGAAACUGUUUAACUUGAGUGCAAGAGGGGAGAGUGGAAUUCCAUGUGUAGCGGUGAAAUGCGUAGAUAUAUGGAGGAACACCGGUGGCGAAAGCGGCUCUCUGGCUUGUAACUGACGCUGAGGCUCGAAAGCGUGGGGAGCAAACAGGAUUGGAUACCCUGGUAGUCCACGCCGUAAACGAUGAGUGCUAGGUGUUAGACCCUUUCCGGGGUUUAGUGCCGCAGCUAACGCAUUAAGCACUCCGCCUGGGGAGUACGACCGCAAGGUUGAAACUCAAAGGAAUUGACGGGGGCCCGCACAAGCGGUGGAGCAUGUGGUUUAAUUCGGAGCAACGCGAAGAACCUUACCAGGUCUUGACAUCCCUCUGACCGCUCUAGAGAUAGAGUUUUCCUUCGGGACAGAGGUGACAGGUGGUGCAUGGUUGUCGUCAGCUCGUGUCGUGAGAUGUUGGGUUAAGUCCCGCAACGAGCGCAACCCCUAUUGUUAGUUGCCAUCAUUCAGUUGGGCACUCUAGCGAGACUGCCGGUAAUAAACCGGAGGAAGGUGGGGAUGACGUCAAUCAUCAUGCCCCUUACGACCUGGGCUACACACGUGCUACAAUGGCUGGUACAACGAGUCGCAAGCCGGUGACGGCAAGCUAAUCUCUUAAAGCCAGUCUCAGUUCGGAUUGUAGGCUGCAACUCGCCUACAUGGAGUCGGAAUCGCUAGUAAUCGCGGAUCAGCACGCCGCGGUGAAUACGUUCCCGGGCCUUGUACACACCGCCCGUCACACCACGAGAGUUUGUANCACCCGAAGUCGGUGAGGUAACCAUUNGGAGC